UUUGGUAGAUGUGGAAUUUGGCGUUGGAAUUUCCAAAAUGUCUGCCGUUUCCAUGGAAACAAUGCAAAAAGGUCAAAAUGCUCCAAAAACUUCCGGGUUUGGUGAAUAACUUUGGUAUGCUUGAACUUAAAAUCAUCAAAUUUUUAUACAAUAUAGUUGUCCACUAUAUACAGGUUUUGAAUGAUUAUGACAAUCAUUGGAACUACUCUGUUACCAUGGAUACAGGAUCAAAUAUUUCAAAAAUUUCAAAAUGCUCCAAAAUUGAUGAAACUUAAUAUGAUAGUUGACUGGCAAGUCUGGAUGAGACUUUUGACUUUGGAAUUUCCAAAAUGGCCACCGUUGCCAUGGAAACUGCAAAAAAGUCAAAAUUUCUCAAAAUGCUUUGAACUUAAUGAAACUUGAUAUUAUUGUUAACUGCCAAGUACAGAUGAGACUUUUGACUUUGAAAUUUUCAAAAUGGCUGCCGUUGCCAUGGAAACAGCAGAAAUGUGAAUUUUUUAAAAUGCUCUGAAUGUACUGAAAAUUUACAGAAAGAUGUAUUGCCAUAAAUAUAUGUGCAUUCACUGUUAAACCAUUUUGAAAUGGCUGCUGGUUAGUGGCAAUAGGGGAAGGGUGACAUCCGCUAUUGCUUGCAAUGGCAAUUCUAGUUAU
rnacentral:lncRNA from 1 species